UGAGGUCUUGUGUGGAGUGGCCAUUGGCCGCUUCCCUGAUGGGGCCUGGGGUAGCAGGUGGGAGAUUAGAAACGUAACUAAGCUGAGGACAGAUUUACAGAGGUUGAGCUGGGAAUGAAGAGUUUGGGAUGAAAUCCCAGAAAGGCACGAAUAUACUCUGUCUUCACUGUGGCUAUACUGUCAGGUUUAUCUGAAAACCAUCCUGACAUCUCCUACAAACAGGAAAAAACAAGGAAACCUGAAGCACUGGCCCCCAUGAUCUCUGCUCUUGCAUCUGCUUUCUUUACCCCAGGCUUCAAGGCUGGUGUCCAGUUGGAAUCACUCUGCUGGUUCACUUCUUAGGAACAUGAAACAAGGAACAGAAUUUAUCAGAGUCCCGCUAAAACUUCUGAGCUGGAGCCAGACAGGGUCAGGGUUUUAUUUGACACACCAAGCAAAAUGAUGCCAACAUGCCGGUCUGUGGUCAAAGAGCAUCACCAACACCACCACCAUCACCAUCAUCACCAUCGUCACCAUCACCACCAUCACCAUCGUCACCAUCAUCACCAUCAGCAGCUGGAUGGGAAGCAGGGCAGAGAAUGUACAGAACGGGUGGUAAAAAUCACCCUAUUGCCUCCUUCCCUACAUGGAGUGGGUUUCAAACUUAUCCCAGCUCAGGACAUCUGUUCUUUCUGUCUGUCUUCUUCGGUCACAUUUCCUGUGACUUCUGAUAAGCCAGUUCCACCCUGAAUAAAAGGCCC
rnacentral:lncRNA from 1 species